rnacentral:rRNA from 1 species
UACGGAGGGUGCAAGCGUUAUCCGGAUUCACUGGGUUUAAAGGGUGCGUAGGUGGGCAGGUAAGUCAGUGGUGAAAUCUCCGGGCUUAACUCGGAAACUGCCAUUGAUACUAUCUUUCUUGAAUACCGUGGAGGUCAGCGGAAUAUGUCAUGUAGAGGUGAAAUUCUUAGAUAUGACACAGAACACCAAUUGCGAAGGCAGCUCACUAAACUGUAACUGACGCUAGAUGACACGAAGCGUGGGGAUCAAACAGGA